rnacentral:rRNA from 1 species
UGGGGAAUCUUGCGCAAUGGGCGAAAGCCUGACGCAGCGACGCCGCGUGAGGGAAGAAGGCCCUCGGGUUGUAAACCUCUUUCGGCAGGGAAGAAGCCGCAAGGUGACGGUACCUGCAGAAGAAGCCCCGGCCAACUACGUGCCAGCAGCCGCGGUAAGACGUAGGGGGCGAGCGUUGUCCGGAUUUAUUGGGCGUAAAGCGCGCGUAGGCGGCCGCUCAAGUCGGAUGUGAAAAUCCGGGGCUCAACCCCGGACCUGCAUUCGAUACUGGGCGGCUAGAGGCAGGUAGGGGAGAGCGGAAUUCCUGGUGUAGCGGUGAAAUGCGCAGAUAUCAGGAGGAACACCGGUGGCGAAGGCGGCUCUCUGGGCCUGUCCUGACGCUCAGGCGCGAAAGCUAGGGGAGCAAACAG